GGGCCCGCACAAGCGGUGGAGUAUGUGGUUUAAUUCGAUGCAACGCGCAGAACCUUACCAACCCCUUGACAUCCUCGGACCGCCAGAGAGAUCUGGCUUUCACUUCGGUGACCGAGUGACAGGUGCUGCAUGGCUGUCGUCAGCUCGUGUCGUGAGAUGUUCGGUUAAGUCCGGCAACGAGCGCAACCCACAUCCUUAGUUGCCAGCAGUUCGGCUGGGCACUCUAGGGAAACUGCCCGUGAUAAGCGGGAGGAAGGUGUGGAUGACGUCAAGUCCUCAUGGCCUUACGGGUUGGGCUACACACGUGCUACAAUGGCAGUGACAAUGGGUUAAUCCCAAAAAACUGUCUCAGUUCGGAUUGGGGUCUGCAACUCGACCCCAUGAAGUCGGAAUCGCUAGUAAUCG
rnacentral:rRNA from 1 species